rnacentral:misc_RNA from 1 species
GAAAUGCGAUAAGUAAUGUGAAUUGCAGAAUUCCGUGAAUCAUCGAAUCUUUGAACGCACAUUGCGCCCUCUGGCAUUCCGGGGGGCAUGCCUGUCCGAGCGUCAUUACGCACCCUCAAGCCCGGAUUGUGUGAUGGGCCCCGGCGUCUCGUUCGCGAGACGGGCCCGAAAGGCAGCGGCGGCGUCGACCCGAUGAGCCCGAGCGUAUGGGGACUUCUGUCACACGUUCGCGGUGCGGACCGGCGCCUGCUUUGACUUUUCUGAUUAUCCAGGUUGACCUCGGAUCAGGUAGGGAUACCCGCUGAACUUAAGC